rnacentral:rRNA from 1 species
GAUGAACGCUGGCGGCGUGCCUAAUACAUGCAAGUAGAACGCUGAAGGAAGGAGCUUGCUCUUUCCGGAUGAGUUGCGAACGGGUGAGUAACGCGUAGGUAACCUGCCUGGUAGCGGGGGAUAACUAUUGGAAACGAUAGCUAAUACCGCAUAACAGUAGAUGUUGCAUGAUAUCUACUUAAAAGGUGCAAUUGCACCACUACCAGAUGGACCUGCGUUGUAUUAGCUAGUUGGUGAGGUAACGGCUCACCAAGGCGACGAUACAUAGCCGACCUGAGAGGGUGGUCGGCCACACUGGGACUGAGACACGGCCCAGACUCCUACGGGAGGCAGCAGUAGGGAAUCUUCGGCAAUGGACGGAAGUCUGACCGAGCAACGCCGCGUGAGUGAAGAAGGGUGUCGGAUCGUAAAGCUCUGUUGUAAGAGAAGAACGAGUGUGAGAGUGGAAAGUUCACACUGUGACGGUAUCUUACCAGAAAGGGACGGCUAACUACGUG